GCCCAGAUGGCUCAGUUGGUAGAGCGUGAGACUCUGGAUCUCAGAGUUGGGGGUUCAAGCCCCACACUGGGCA